CAGCAAUCUGACCUCUCUGUACCCAUAUCGUCUUCCUCCCCUUGCCAUAAUUCUGUACCAAGCCGUCCAGCUGCGCACUAGGGUUCGGGAAAUCUGCUCCGUCACCUCUCUCGCCCCCUCUCCUGGAUCUUCUCCCCCUUCUAUCUGGUACCUAGUUCCGGCGCCUUUGAAGCACGAGCUCCCCUCCUCUUCUCUGAGUCGGGCCCGAUGAAGUCGCCAUUGCUGCCGGCGAGCGCGUAAAUGUAGCGGUGUUGUGCUGUAGCUCCUGGGGACGAAGAGGAACUACCCAAAGGAGCCGACUAUCUUGUGCACCUUGACGAUUUCAGGUUGUGCGGUUGAAAUAGGACCUGGCCAUCGUCCUUUAUAGCUCAGGAUCCAAGCUGCGGGAGCACUGGACCGGGGAAAUUGUUACUGCAGCGAAGCAUGCCACAUCUCCUCUGGGGCUUCCCCGUCCCAGUCGCACGAGAUCUAUUGUGUGCCAUUGUUUACAGUCUGAUGGAUCUGAGAACAGGAUAACAACUGAAGCUAAAGCCUUGGGAAUUUCAGAAUUUAAGUUUUCUAACACUCAACAUGGCAUUUUCAGCGGAUACACAUGGCAACAAGGAAACGAACGACACUGGAGGCCCAACAACGGUUAAAACGUUCGCGCUAGGGGGUUUCCUCUGGGCACCUCCUAUUUGGCACGCUGGUCGCCCUCGCGCGUACCCCCUCACGCGUUGGGUACUCAUAUGGGCCGGCCCAUUUUUGGAUUUUAUCUCCACCGGUUUUGGGAAGGUUCUAGAACAUUCCCUAAAACGGGUUUUUCUUUCUGUUUUCCCUUUAUUUUCAUUUGCAAGCAUCUUUCAAAUUCAUGAACAUCUUUGGAAAACAUGAACAUUUUUUUUUGAAAUCCUGAACAUUUUGCAAAUACAUGAAUUUUUUUAAACCGUAAAUUUUUUAAAAUUGGUGAACAUUUUUGAAAUUGCAUAUCUUUUUUGGAACACGUGAACAAUUGUUCUGAACCGACGAACAUUUUUAAAAUUUGGGAACAAUUUUUUGAAAUUCAGGAACUUUUUUUAGAAAUCCAUGAACUUUUUGUGAAUCUACAAGCAUUUAUCAAUUCAUGAACAUUUUUUUUCAAAUCAUGCACAUUUUUUAAUUCACGAACAUUUUUUUCAGUAUCUACAACUCUUGUGAAAUCCUGAAUUAUUUUUAAAAAGGAAAAACAGGAAACAUAAAAAAGAAAAAAUGAAAGGGCAAAAAUGAAGGGGCUUCUCGUUUCCUGCACCGCACAUGGGCCGACCCGUUAGGGCGCCCGCAGGGUGCACUUGACACCUUUCUCUCGGCGCCCAACACGCUAAAUAGGAGCUCCCUUUUCUCCACCGUGCAAAAAAGUCAGCUCGAUCCUCCCUUUGCCCUGCGAACCAUACGUUCGUUCCGAGGAUCAAUAUGAGUUGAUGUACGCGAGUUACAUCCUUUAUUUUUUGAGGGGUAAAAAUCUCUCUCUCUCACACACACACACGAUUCAGGUGUACCAUUACAGUUAGUAGCCAGGAGUCUAAGAAAAUGAUUUGAAACCGUAUCUAGAAACAAUUGCUCCUUUUUGGUUUUGGCAGCUGCGGCGAGCUCAUGCAUAUGAGGAAGUGGGUGAACUGAGACGAUAUGCUCUUUAUGUUAGUAAUCACUAGCAAAAAUGGUGUGUUAUAGUGAGAGGAAAAAGUAUCACAUGCCCCUGACCCUGUAAGCAUGGUUUUAAGAUCCCUAAAAGUCAAAGUCCAAUAUUUCAACAUGGCACCCUCACCAAUAGUAGCUCCAGAGUCCACGUAAUCAUAAUGCAUUUGAAUGUGGUUAAUCCCAAUGCAAUGAGCUAGGACACUGAUCUCCUCGAGCUAGAUAUUAGGGCCGCUCUCCACACCCUGCAUCAUGCACCUAGUCCAUACACUCCUAAUGCUUCAUCUCUCUUUUGACUCAUAAUGUCGUGGAAAUGUUUCCCCGAGGGAGGGGCAGGUCCUGCACGUGUCCCCUCAUGACUCCUUAGGGCCCGGUCACUGCCUCAUGGAUGUCACUCUGUCGUAUGAUACAUCUCCAAGGUAUCUAUAAUUUUUGAUUGCUUCAUGCUGUUAUAUUAUUAUUCUUGGAUAUUUUACAAUUAUUUUAUAUCAUUUUUUUGGUACUAACCUAUUGACAUAGUGCCCAGUGCCAGUUGCUGUUUUCUCAAUGUUUUUUACAUCACAGAAAAUCAAUAUCGAACGGAGUACAAACGCAGUGAAACUCCGAGAGGAUUUUUUGGG